rnacentral:RNase_P_RNA from 1 species
AGUGGAUUGGGCAGUCGCGGGCAGCCUGCGGGCUGCGUGAGGAAAGUCCGAGCUUCACAGAGCAGGAUAACGGCUAACGGCCGCCGAGGGUGACCUUAGGGAAAGUGCAACAGAGAGAUACCGCUUGCGUUCGCGCGAGCAAGGGUGGAAAGGCGAGGUAAGAGCUCACCGGCGCGCAGGAGACUGCGCGGCCCUGCAAACCCUAUCCGAAGCAACACCGACCGGGGGCGGGGGAAACCCCUGCGUUUGCUCGACGAUACCCCGACGGGUGGCUCAAGCGCUGCAGCAAUGCUGCGCGUAGACAGAUGAUUGCCUUCAAUGACAGAACUCGGCUUACAGAUCCACUCGC